rnacentral:rRNA from 1 species
CCUACGGGAGGCUGCAGUGAGGAAUAUUGGUCAAUGGACGAGAGUCUGAACCAGCCAAGUAGCGUGAAGGAUGACUGCCCUCUGGGUUGUAAACUUCUUUUAUAUGGGAAUAAAAUGUUCCACGUGUGGGAUUUUGUAUGUACCAUAUGAAUAAGGAUCGGCUAACUCCGUGCCAGCAGCCGCGGUAAUACGGAGGAUCCGAGCGUUAUCCGGAUUUAUUGGGUUUAAAGGGAGCGUAGGUGGAUUGUUAAGUCAGUUGUGAAAGUUUGCGGCUCAACCGUAAAAUUGCAGUUGAAACUGGUAGGCUUGAGUACAGUAGAGGUGGGCGGAAUUCGUGGUGUAGCGGUGAAAUGCUUAGAUAUCACGAAGAACUCCGAUGGCGAAGGCAGUUCACUGGACUGUAACUGACACUGAGGCUCGAAAGUGUGGGUAUCAAACAGGAUUAGAUACCCCUGUAGUC